UGCAAUUUCAGGUACUAAAUUCGGGUAGCUGUGCUGCUAACCGGAUUAUAAAAAAAAUCAAAAUAAAAAAACCGAAAAUUCGGUUUUGACCGAACUCCCAGCCUACCCCCACCAACCCCCCCUGUUGGCUCGUUCCUCCACCUAAUAGUUUGUUGUGGGCUCUUAUCCAUUGGGCUUAUAUAUAGGAGAGGAGGCUACCCCUUAUACGUGCUGUUC
rnacentral:lncRNA from 1 species